UGGCCCACUCCUCCAUACAGAUCUUCUCCAGAUCUUUCAGGUUUCGGGGCUGUCACUGGGCAACAUUGAGUUUCAGCUUCCUCCAAAGAUUUUCUAUUGGGUUCAGGUUUGGAGACUGGCUAGGCCACUCCAGGACCUUGAAAUGCUUCUUACAGAGCCACUCCUUAGUUGCCCUGGCUGUGUGUUUCGGGUCAUUGUCAUGCAGGAAGACCCAGCCACGACCCAUCUUCAAUGCUCUUACUGAGGGAAGGAGGUUGUUGGCCAAAAUCUCACGAUACAUGACCCCAUCCAUCCUCCCUUCAAUACGGUGCAGUCGUCCUGUCCCCUUUGCAGAAAAGCACCCCCAAAGUAUGAUGUUUCCACCCCCAUGCUUCACGGUUGGGACGGUGUUCUUGGGGUUGUACUCAUCCUUCAACAUGACGAGUGGAAUUGAUACCAAAAAGCUCUAUUUUGGUCUCAUCUGACCACAUGAUCUUCUCCUCUGGAUCAUCCAGAUGGUCAUUGGUGAUCUUCAGACGGGCCUGGACAUGUGCUGGCAUGAGCAGGGGGACCUUGCGUGCCCUGCAGGAUUUUAAUCCAUGGUGGCGUAGUGUGUUACUAAUGGUAAUCUUUGAGACUGUGGUCCCAGCUCUCUUCAGGUCAUUUACCAGGUUCUUCCGUGUGUUUUUGGGCUGAUUCCUGACCCUUCUCAGGAUCAUCCUUACCCCACGAAGUGAGAUCUUGCAUGGAGCAGCAGACAGAGGAAGAUUGACAGUCAUCUUGUGUUCCUUCCAUUUUCUAAUAAUUGCGCCAACAGUUGUUGCCUUCUCACCAAGCUGCUUGCUGUUUUCCUGUAGCCCAUCCCAGCCUUGUGCAGGUCUACAUUUUUGUCCCUGGUGUCCUUAGACAGCUCUUUGGUCUUGGCCAUGGUGAAAGGUUGGAGUGUGAUUGAUUGAGUGUGUGGACAGGCAUAUUUUAUACAGGUAACGAGUUCAAACAGGUGCAAUUAAUACAGGUAAUGAGUGCAGAAUAGGAGGGCUUCUUAAAGAAAAACUGCCAAGAAGAGGGAACUAAAUGUAACCUUAUAUAUACAUCACACUCCUUUUUAAAGAAGAUGGACCACCAGCUCCAUACAGCUGUAGCUGUGACGUCUUCCCUUAACGCCCACACAGUUCACAUCAUCGCUGUACGCCCCCUCCAGCAGCUGUGGGAUUCACUGCAGUCAGCAUGGCUCCAGAUACCUGUGACAACCUACUGUACCAGGACCUGAUUGAGUCACUCCCAGUUUGUCUGUAAUGAAUUUAAUGUUAAUGUUUAACUUUAGUGUGUUGUAGUAAGAACUUUGUAUCAUUGCGUCCUCAGGAGCAAGAAAAGUAAACACAUGAAUUAAA